rnacentral:lncRNA from 1 species
GUGGGCAGGUGCAGGCAGUGAUCGGUUGAAGAGCAUGCAUUUAGUUUUACUUAGACUCACCAGCAGCAAGAGCGACAUCAUUGAUGUAUACAGAGAAGAGAGUCGGCUCAGGAAUUGAACCCUGUGGCACCCCCAUAGAGACUGCCAGAGGUCCGGACAACAUGCCCUCUGAUUUGAAAUACUGAACUCUAUCAGAGAAGUAGUUGGUGAACCAGGCGAGGCAAUCAUUUGAGAAACCAAGGCUAUUGAGUGCCGAUGAGGAAGUGGUGAUUGACAGAGUCGAAAGCCUUGGCCAGGUCAAUGAAUAUGGCUGCACAGUAUUGUUUCUUAUCGACGGCGGUUAAGAUAUCGUUUAGGACCUUGAGCGUGGCUGAGGUGCACCCAUGACCAGCUCUGAAACCAGAUUGCAUAGCGGAGAAGGUGCGGUGGGAUUCGAAAUGGUCGGUAAUCUGUUUGUUGACUUGGCUUUCGAAGACCUUAGAAAGGCAGGGUAGGAUAGAUAUAGGUCUGUAGCAGUUUGGGUCAAGAGUGUCUCCCCCUUUGAAGAGGGGGAUGGUCGCAGCUGCUUUCCAAUCUUUGGGAAUCUCAGACGACACGAAAGAGAGGUUGAACAGGCUAGUAAUAGGGGUUGCAACAAUUACGGCAGAUAAUUUUAGAAAGGGUCCAGAUUGUCUAGCCCGGCUGAUUUGUAGGGGUCCAGAUUUUGCAGCUCUUUCAGAACAUCAGCUGACUGGAUUUGGGAGAAGGAGAAAUGGGGAAGGCUUGGGCGAGUUGCUGUGGGGGGUGCAGUGCUGUUGACCGGGAUAGGGGUAGCCAGGUGGAAAGCAUGGCCAGCCGUAGAAAAAUGCUUAUUGAAAUUCUCAAUUAUAGUGGAUUUAUCAGUGGUGACAGAGUUUCCUAUCCUCAGUGCAGUGGGCAGCUGGGAGGAGGUGCUCUUAUUCUCCAUGGACUUUACAGUGUCCCAGAACUUUUUUGAGUUUGUGUUGCAGGAAGCAAAUUUCUGCUUGAAAAAGCUAGCCUUGGCUUUUUCUAACUGCCUGUGUAUAUUGGUUUCUAACUUCCCGGAAAAAUUGCAUAACACGUGGGCUGUUCAAUGCUAAUGCAGAACGCCACAGAAUCUUUUUGUGUUGGUUAAGGGCAGUCAGGUCUGGAGAGAACCAAGGGCUGUAUCUGUUCCUGGUUCUACGUUUCUUGAACGGGGAAUGCUUAUUUAAGAUGGUGAUGAAGGCAUUUAAAAGAAAAUAACCAGGCAUCCUCUACUGACGGGAUGAGGUCAAUAUCCUUCCAGGAUACCUGGGCCAGGUCGAUUAGAAAGGCCUGCUCACUGAAGUGUUUCAGGGAGCGUUUGACAGUGAUGAGUGGAGGUCGUUUGACCGCUGACCCAUUACGGAUGCAGGCAAUGAGGCAGUGAUCGCUGAGAUCUUGGUUGAAAACAGCAGAGGUGUAUUUAGAGGGCAAGUUGGUUAGGAUGAUAUCUAUGAGGGUGCCCGUGUUUACGGCUUUGGGGUGGUACCUGGCAGGUUCAUUGAUAAUUUGUGUGAGAUUGAGGGCAUCAAGCUUAGAUUGUAGGAUGGCUGGGGUGUUAAGCAUGUCCCAGUUUAGGUCACCUAGUUAGCACGAGCUCUGAUGAUAGAUGGGGGGCAAUCAGUUCACAUAUGGUGUCCAGAGCACAGCUGGGGGCAGAGGGUGGUCUAUAGCAGGCAGCAACGGUGAGAGACUUGUUUUUAGAAGUUCUAUUUUUAAAAGUAGAAGUUCAAAUUGUUUGGGUACAGACCUGGAUAGUAGGACAGAACUCUGCAGGCUAUCUCUGCAGUAGAUUGCAACACCGCCCCCUUCGGCCGUUCUAUCUUGUCUGAAAAUUUUGUAGUUAGGGAUGGAGAUUUCAGAGCUUUUGGUGGUCUUCCUAAGCCAGGAUUCAGACACGGCUAGGACAUCCGGGUUGGCAGAGUGUGCUAAAUCAGUGAAUAAAACAAACUUAGGGAGGAGGCUUCUAAUGUUAACAUGCAUGAAACCAAAAGAGCGCCUGGGGAAUAGGAGUGGAGCUAGGCACUGCAGGGCCUGGAUUCACCUCUACAUUGCCAUAGGAACAGAGGAGGAGUAGGAUAAGGGUACGGCUAAAAGCUUUGAGAAUUGGUCGUCUAGGACGUCCGGAACAGAGAGUAAAAGGAGCAGGUUUCUGGGGGCGAUAAAAUAGCUUCAAGGUAUAAUGUACAGACAAAGGUAUGGUAGGAUGUGAAUACAGUGGAGGUAAACCUAGACAUUGAGUGAUGAUGAGAGAGAUAUUGAUAAAAAAUGAUCAAACCCCCCACCCAAAAUCUAUUUUAAUUCCAGGUUGUAAGGCAAAAAAACAGGAAAAAUGCCAAGGGAGAUGAAUACUUUCGCAAGCCACUGUAAUCAUACAACUAAACAGACUGAAUGAGUGUAAGGCCUAGAUUCAAUCAGAUCAAGUGUUAACUGGCAAUAGCUGACACCGCAUAGCUGAUGUUUUGGUGGUGUCUGAGGUGUAACUGUGUUGGAUCUGUCAAAUCAGUGAGCAGCUGAUCUUAAUCAUUGUCACAAAACUACACCCGCCCUACUCAUGUUACAAGUUCAGAACGAGAAAGUGUAGGUUAUAUAGAAAUAAUGACGCUCAAAUUCAAAAUCAUUAAACUAAAUAAUGAGGAUUUCUAUCAGCCUAAUCGAGAUGUAGAUAACAUCUCAAAUUGCAAUGUUCUAACUUGUAAACAGGGCUGCAUGAGAUUUCCAUUAAUG